UGAUUCCAUAAUUUUUGCCAGGGGUUGUAGUAAGUGACCAUGUAUCUGGUAGUAAAUAUCUCAUGAGGUUGGAUGAACAGAUAACUUUAUUGAUUGAUGGACUGAUUCACUAAUUGACUGUCAUACUUGUUCCAGUCUGGCCACCUCCAGAGCUCUGAUGAGUUACUGCCCAAUGGAGGAGUCAGCAGGAUCAUGUGUUGAUGAAGAUCCAGCUGCUUGCUUUGAGGGAGGAUGUUCUAAUGUCACCUAUGACAUAAAGCCAUCUGCCUGGUCUGAUGAUGAAGUAGCUCACUGGACUUUUCAUAGAGUUUAUCCUCCAUGGUUAAAUGAUGAAGAUCCAGCUGCCAUGUCUUCUGACGGAGCUAAAACAACAGACUGUACUGCUGCAGCCUCAGCCUCCUCUGGUCGAAACUUUCUGAACAGUGUUCGCAAGUUCUUCGGCUGAGUUGCGGCAACAUUUAGUUGCUGCUACCACCCUAAUGUGGAGGACUGAUUAACAUGUACAUUUCUGAGUUGGUUGUGCCCUAGCCUUCCUCUACAUCACUGAUUACCUCUUCCCCUUCAUCUGUAAAUCAAAUAGUAGCAGCUGCCUCAGGCAAAUGCCAACAUUAUGCAGAUUCUCAACUGAUGUGAUUUGUUUUUGCAGGUGAAGCAUAUGGUUGAGGUUCUGGGUCAGCCGGAGGACCACCUGCUCUGUGCUGUAAAUAUACUGAGCACUUCUUCAGUCAGGAGGAAGCUGCUGAUGGUUCAGCAUGCAGGCUGAAGGUCUAUCCAAAAGACGACGUCUGACCACCUCCCGAACUCUGAUAAAUUGCUGCCCAAUGGAGGAAUCAGCAGCCAGGAUGAACACCUCUGGAGCCACCACAUGGUCAACUCAUGAUGAAGAUCCAGCUGCCUGAUCGGAGGGAGAACUUUAAAUGUCACCCAUAAAGCCACCACAGGGUCAUCUUGUCAUGAAGAUCCAGCUGCUUGGUCUUUGGGAGAACUGUCUGAUGUCACCCGUGACACCGAGCCAUCAGACUGGUCUACUGAUGGAGCUCCACUCGAUCCACUUCUGAUGAAGGGUGUUCCCUCUCCAAUGAUGAUGACCUUAGUCUCUGGUCUUUUGAUAGAGUUCUGCCUUCAUGCUCUUUUGACAGAGCGAAAACAACAGACUGCACUGCUGCAGUCUUAGCCUCCUCUGGUCGAAACUUUCUGGACAGUAUUUGUAAGUUCUUUGGCCAAACCACGGCAACCUUUAGUUGUUGCUGCUACACUGUGGAGGACUGAUUACCACGUAUAUUUCUGGCUGUAUAUUUUUUGAGGAACUGUAGCACUGACAUUUUUUUGAAUACAGUUGAUUGUCAUGGAUUAAAGCCAUCUAUCAAUCUAUUAAGUUUAAAUACUUGACCAACACUGUUUUACAGGUUGAUUUUACACUGUUUUUUAAAAGAAAUGCUUAUUUGGACUUUGAACUCACAUCUGUAUGAAGAUGAUAGACAUAAAUCAGUCAGAUGUACCUGAUAAAUAAAACACGUGUUUAUUUACACAAAUAUUUUCAAAUACUAGUCAUCUACAUAAGGACAUAAAAAUAUAUACAGUGAUGUAGGGACUCAAACUGCUCCGUUUUCAGGUCAAUGUAUACAUGUUCUGAUUUAUUUGCAUUUUCAGGUUUUGAAAUGAAAAAAAAAAAAAAAAAAAA